rnacentral:lncRNA from 1 species
UAGAAAAUGAGCAAAAGAUUUGAACAUGGAAGAGCAUACGUGAGAGCACUAGUGGGGAAAGUACAGUCUUCUCACAAAUGGUGCUGGGAAGACUGGACAGCCUAUGGUGUUGGACCCUCAUCUCACACUGUGUGACACUAACUCAAAAUGGGUCAAAGAUCUGAAACAAAACUGUGAGACCCAGAAGAAAACAUGGAAAAGUGUGCUUGAUGUUGGGUGUGACUGCUGUUUUUUGGGAUAUGACACCAAAAACACAGGCAAAAAAAUAGAAGUCAAAAUUUAAAACUUUUGCAGGACAUGGUGGUGCAUGCCUGUCAUUCCAGCAACUUGGGAGUCUAAGGCAGAGGCUGGCAAGUCAGAGGCCAGCCUCAGCAACUUAGUGAGGCCCUAUCUCAAAUCAAUUAGUAAAAAGGGGACUGGGGCUGUAGCUCAGUAACAGAGCGCUUGUCUCUGUGGGGCACUGGGUUCGAUCCUUAGCAUCAUAUAAAAAAUACACAGGCAUUCUGUCCAUCCACAACUACAAGAAAAUUUUCUAAAUUCAAGGGGCUGGAGGUGUGUGGCUCAGUGGUAGAGCACUUUCCUAGCAUGUGGGAGGCCCUGGUUUGAUUCCCAGCAAAACACACACACACACACACACACACACACACACACACACGGUAAAUGGAUUUCUCUGUGGGAGGUUCCCAUGGCUCAGCCACGGCUUCCUGGCUGGGCCCAGGCUGAAGCCUCCCCUGGUUGCCUGCUGCUACCUACAGGUCAUAGGCUGGGGCACCUGUGGGGAUGUGAUACUCAUGUGGCACCCUUGGGAUGGCAGGCAGGUGGCACAAAGCACUGCAGAGAAUAAACCAGUGAGACCCCACCUCUGAGGAGGAGGCCCAGUGCCUGUCUUCACCUGCAGGCGUCCUGGGAGGGGGAGGCCAUCUGCUCUGCCCAGUCCUGGGCUUCUCUGCAGAGGGCACCUGUAGCUGGAGGAGCAGAAGGAGACACUUCUCCCUGAGAGUCAGGGGCCAUGUCUCUGCUGUGCUUAAUUGAAAAACCAGACCUUCACCCAGAUCCAAAAACUCAAAAUGGCAAAAGACCUCAAAAAUAUUAGAAAUGGUGACUCCAAAUCCAAGUCUUGCUGCAGUGGUUUCCAGGAGACUAGAUGAAGCCACAAAGUGAUCCCCUUCCAACCACUCUCCUCCGAGGCCCCAAGAUGUCUAGUGGGCAAAGCUGAAAGCCUGGGCAUUGGUCCCCUGAAGACCCCUGCCAGACUUAAAGGCCACAGAGCAACCCAGACCUGGCAACACUGCAGAGUCACCAGCCACGGUCAGUAGGAACAGUGUCAACGUCCUACCUGUGGGAAAGGGACUCAACCCAGGAGGAUCAGCCAGAACCCUCAGGGACUUCUAACGGACCAAAGGGAAACGCAGUGAAGGGAAGACCACAAGCUCAAGCCAAGACAGUGCUCAACUGCAAGCCCUGUUCUCACAGGAAAGGGGUGGCCAGUGUAGCCUCUGCAGCCCAUAAGCCAGGACCAAAGGCUGUGAUCUAGCUGCUGGUGAAUGGACGACAGAAAAGCAAGACAGGGCUGGGAGUGUGGCUGGGUGGUAGGGCACAGGAGAGGCCUGUCCCACCCCAGCACUGCAAAAGAAAACCAGGAUGAGGCCCAGCAGGACAAGGCCCAGCAGGUCGAGGCUCAGCAGGACAAAGCCCACCGAGACGAGGCCCACCGGGAUGAGGCCCAUGGGAACAGAGCCCACCAGGUGAACAGCCACACGCUGCGCUGCGUCUGAAGCUCCCCAGCUCCUUGGCUAAGGCAGAGGAGAGAGCAGGUUGGUCACCAUGGGGAAGAGUCCCAGGGAUCUUCCCAGGGGUCUUCCUCUCCUCUCGCCUUCUCUACUCUCUGUUGGACACAGGUAUCUGUCUCAUCAACAUGACGGUGCAGAGAGCCCAAGCCAAGUGCCAGAGGGUCUGUGGCGGUUCACAGGGUACUUGGAUGUCCUCAUCAAGGACCCACCUUUACCAGCAAUAGUGUCACAGGAAGAAACAUCCCCCUGGGCCCUCACCUAGGAAGUUUCUCAGAGUAGCCACAGGAGGAGGCCAGACCAUCCCUGGACGCCUCUCUUCUGACGGCAGUGUUGCUCUGGAAAGGAAGCACGUCCUUUGUCCCCAGAGGAGUUAAGUUCUUCCUCAAGUUCAC